rnacentral:rRNA from 1 species
AGUGAACGCUGGCGGCAGGCCUAACACAUGCGAGUCGAGCGGCAGCGCGGGGGCAACCCUGGCGGCGAGCGGCGGACGGGUGAGGAAUUCGUCGGAAUCUGCCUUUUUGUGGGGGAUAACGUAGGGAAACGUACGCUAAUACCGCAUACGUCCUACGGGAGAAAGUGGGGGACCGCAAGACCUCACGCAGAAAGAUGAGCCGACGACCGAUUAGCUAGUUGGUGGGGUAAAGGCCCACCAAGGCGACGAUCGGUAGCUGGUCUGAGAGGAUGAUCAGCCACACUGGAACUGAGACACGGUCCAGACUCCUACGGGAGGCAGCAGUGGGGAAUAUUGGACAAUGGGCGCAAGCCUGAUCCAGCCAUGCCGCGUGUGUGAAGAAGGCCUUCGGGUUGUAAAGCACUUUUGUCCGGAAAGAAAUCCCUGGAGCUAAUACCUUCGGGGGAUGACGGUACCGGAAGAAUAAGCACCGGCUAACUUCGUG